AACGCACCUUGCGCUCCUUGGCAUUCCGAGGAGCAUGCCUGUUUGAGUGUCGUUGAAUUCUCAAAUCCUGUCCUUCUUUGGGGGUUGGGUUUGGAUUGGUGGAGGAUGCAUGGCUGGGCCCCCCCAGUGGGGUGCUCUGCUUCUCUGAAAUGGAUUGGCGUCGCGGCUGUGAUCACGAACCUGUCGUCGGUAUGAUACACACAUCUUACCUGCUUCUAAUCCGUGGCGAGCCCGGCCGGACAACACAAAUUCUCUCAUGAUUUGACCUCAAAUCAGGCAGGACUACCCGCUGAACUUAA
rnacentral:misc_RNA from 1 species